rnacentral:rRNA from 1 species
UACAGAGGUCCCGAGCGUUGGUUCGGAUUCACUGGGCGUAAAGGGCGCGUAGGUGGUUCUGUAUGUCUACCGUGAAAGCAUACAGCUCAACUGUAUUUUGUCGGUAGAAACUGCAGGACUUGAGGCUGGGAGGGGCUGGUGGAAUUCCCUGUGUAGCGGUGAAAUGCGUAGAGAUGGGGGAGAACACUCGUGGCGAAGGCGGCCAGCUAGACCAGUUCUGACACUGAGGCGCGACAGCGUGGGGAGCAAACAGG